rnacentral:tRNA from 1 species
GGAAGGGUGCUGGAGCGGACGAACAGGCACGGCUGGAGACCGUGUGUGGGCUCUGCCCACCGAGGGUUCGAAUCCCUCCCCUUCCGCCA